UCGAACAGACCUAUUUACUUUAGCUUCUACACCAAAAUUUUAUUUUAAUCCAACAUCGAGGUCGCAAUCUUUCUUUUCGAUAAGAACUCUCAAAAAAAAUUACGCUGUUAUCCCUAAGGUAAUUUAAUCUUUUAAUCUUUAUACAAGGAUCAACUAUCCAUAAAUUAAUGCUAAAAUAUAAAAAAGUUCAAUAAAUUUUUUAAUCACCCCAAUCAAAUUAAUAUAAAUAUAAAAAAAAGUAAAUUCUAAUAGUAAUUAUACAUAUAUCAAUAAAACUCUAUAGGGUCUUCUCGUCUUUAAUUUAUAUUUAAGCUUUUUUACUUAAAAAUAAAAUUCCAAUAAAAUUAAAUAGAGACAGCUAUUUUCUCAUCUAACCUUUCAUUCCAGCUUUCAAUUAAAAAACUAUUGAUUAUGCUACCUUUGCACGGUCAAAUUACCGCGGCCAUUCAAAUUUCAUUGGGCAGGUUGGACUUUAAAUUAUUCUCAAAAA
rnacentral:rRNA from 1 species